rnacentral:rRNA from 1 species
GACGUAGGGGGCGAGCGUUGUCCGGAUUUACUGGGCGUAAAGGGCGCGUAGGCGGCCCGCUAAGUCGAACGUGAAAUCCCCCGGGCUCAACCCGGGAACUGCGUCCGAUACUGGAUGGCUUGAAUUCGGGAGAGGGAUGCGGAAUUCCAGGUGUAGCGGUGAAAUGCGUAGAUAUCUGGAGGAACACCGGUGGCGAAGGCGGCAUCCUGGACCGGCAUUGACGCUGAGGCGCGAAAGCUAGGGGAGCAAACGGG